rnacentral:rRNA from 1 species
UACGUAGGGUGCAAGCGUUAAUCGGAAUCACUGGGCGUAAAGCGCACGUAGGCGGCUUACUAAGUCAGGGGUGAAAUCCUGGAGCUCAACUCCAGAACUGCCUUUGAUACUGGUAAGCUCGAGUCCGGGAGAGGUGAGUGGAACUGCGAGUGUAGAGGUGAAAUUCGUAGAUAUUCGCAAGAACACCAGUGGCGAAGGCGGCCCACUGGUCCGGUACUGACGCUGAGGUGCGAAAGCGUGGGGAGCAAACAGG